rnacentral:sRNA from 1 species
UUCGACUUUAUGCGGACAAAACGUGUCAAGAAAGCGGUAUUCCUAACCAACAUGACAAAAUAUAAAUGGAAACGACGAUUCAAAUUGGAGGCCCAAGAAUGCUGUCACCCGGACAACAACAAGUGCAAGCUAUUUGUCCAACUUCGCCCGGAGCGUAAGGGGGAAUACAAGAACCUAGAUUGGGAACACAGGUUCUUCA